rfam:Ixodes scapularis strain Wikel colony gcontig_1107728780624, whole genome shotgun sequence.
CCCUGGUUAGCUCAGCUGGUAGAGCGCUCCACUAGAAAUGGAGAGGUGCCUGGUUCGAUACCAAGUCCAGGCG